rnacentral:RNase_P_RNA from 1 species
AGGGCAGACCGCUCUAUCGCUGUUUCAGGUAAACUGGAAGAGAGGAAAGUCCGGGCAACGCAGGGCACCAUGCUUCCUAACGGGAAGAAGGGCGAAAGCUUUUAGCCGCGUAACAGAAAAUAACCGUCCGGCCCUGCCGGAUAAGGGUGAAAAGGUGAGGUAAGAGCUCACCGGUUUCGGGGGUGAUCCCGAAAGCCGUACGCGUCAUGGGUUGCAAAGCCAAAUAUAUCACGGCCGGCAAAUGUUGCCGACAGGGUUGCCCGCCCUGUUCUGACCGUCAGGUCAGUCCCGGUUCGUCCGGGAGUCGUGAGGGGUAGGCUGCUAGAUCGCACCAGCAAUGUUGCGGCCAGAUAAAUGAUAGAGGUUUCCGGUUUUCCGGAGAUACAGAACCCGGCUUACAGGUCUGCUUUUUUU